rnacentral:misc_RNA from 1 species
GAUAAAACCGUAGAGCGCAGCUCGUCGCUUAUAAACUUUUUGACUCCUAAAGAAUCAUUAAAAUGCUUAUAAUUUGUUAUUUCAGUCACAACGAGACUGAAAAACUUGGACUAUGCGAGGAUCACGAGUUCCAGUGCGAUAACAGGGAAUGCAUUCGAAAGGAGUUCCGCUGCGACUCCCGCGUGGACUGCCUGGACGGCUCGGACGAGUGGCGCUGCGCCGGGGCGCCCACCACCAGCGCGCCCGCCGCCAGCAGCACCGCGCGCGCCGAC